GACGUAGGGUGCAAGCGUUGUCCGGAUUUAUUGGGCGUAAAGAGUUCGUAGGCGGUUACUUAAGUCUGGUGUUAAAGACUGGAGCUCAACUCCAGCAUGGCAUUGGAUACUGGGUGGCUAGAGUGCGGUAGAGGUCUCGGGAAUUCCAGGUGUAGCGGUGAAAUGCGUAGAUAUCUGGAGGAACACCGGUGGCGAAGGCGGGUCUCUGGGCAACUACUGACGCUGAGGAGCGAAAGCGUGGGGAGCGAACAGG
rnacentral:rRNA from 1 species